AGCCUGCUUGCUGUGCUGAUGAAAAACGUGGCUGUGAGCAGCUCUACUCUAAGCCAGUGUAGUUGCGCCAGUGGGCAGGGGGAGCACCUGUGGGGUGCAGCAAUGGGACCUCAAGGUGGCUGUGGGCCUUGUGGUGAUGGUCAUGUCCAGGGGGAUUUGCUCCUGUCUGUGUCCCCUCUGCUGCUCAGGGGUCUGCGGGUUUAGUAUCAUCAUAGAAUUGUAGGAUCGUGAAGGUUGACCAUCUCCAGGGAUGGUGACUCCACCGCUUCCCUGCACAUCCUUACUGAAGGCUUUAAGGAGCCUUGAACGGCUGGAGCUGGGCUGGCAGAUGUCCCUUAUGUCCCAGGGCCUGGUGAAGGGCUGCAGGGCCAACAGUGGAGGCUCAAGGUGCACCUGAGAGGAGAGCUGAGGCGCUGCAGCAGGAACAGCCACCAGCACAUCGCUGCGGAUGGGAGGGAGGAAGGGCAGAGGCAGCACAGUGCCCAGCACCCUCAGGGAUUGGGGUGCACCCGGGGUCAUCCUGUGCUCCUUCCCCCAGCGCUGACAUGGGAACGGCCCCAGUGCAGCCACCCACCGCCGCUCGCUGUGAUCCAGGGUCCUGAGCUGACCUCGCUCUGCUGCACCCACGCAGGGCAGGGAUGGCUGAAUUACUGCUCCCUGCUGCGCUCUGUACAUCCUCCUCCUGGCCGGGUGGCCUCAGGAUCUGUGGGGCUGGAUGGCUGCGUGCUCUCAGGUCAAACAGUAGCUCCAUUUUUUCCCUUGUGAAGGACCAAGAGCUUGCCUGGUUCCAAGGAAGUAGCUGUGGAUUUUAAUUUAAUUUUAUUUUUUCCCUCCUCCGUUCUUCUUUCUGAAUCUUUUUGGGAUUUUGGGCUCUUAAUGAGGAUGCUUGGACCAGCACAGGGUGCAGCCCCAUGCAGAGGGGUGAACGCCUCUGGAGAAGCAAUGGGAGCAGCACACCAAGAGCUGGCAACCGCAGUGCCUUGGGUCUGAAACUGGGAGCUGUGUCCCUUCACAUCGCAUGGCUGCAUCCUCCCCAGCACAUCCCAUAGGGAUUAGGUGGGAUUCUGGGGGGCGCAAGGCCAAACCGCAGUGAGGGGAACGUCAAGAAAGGGAAAAAUGUCACCCUCAGAAACAAUUAAACUGCUUAAUAAAAUCCGUUGCCUCUCGGAGUGCUCGCUGUUCUUUUCCGUUUGCCUUGGCUCAGCCACACUUACAUCAUGGCCCUAUCGCGGUGCUGCCGAGUGGACGGGUUUGAUUGCACAGGAAACCGGCGCUUUGGCAAACUUCUCUGCCCCGGUAAAGCCAGGCCAAGAGCUUAAUGCCUUUGCUUUGCAGAAAAAAAUCUUCCCUGUCCUUUCCCUCUUUCCUUUCUGCAACCCCUUAACCAUCACCCGCCAACUAGGCGGCCACCCCUCGCAUGCCUCCUGCUCCAAAGCGCCUGAGAUGCAGAUUAAUUCCCCUUAAAUCAUGUUGUUUCACGUCCGUGGACCGUGUGUCCCCUCCCACCCUGUAGAGCUGAAGCACUGGAAGGUGCUGUGUGGAAAUGCAACGUAAAAAAAGGAUAUUUAUGUAAUGGAAAUGUCCUUUGAUUUUUUUUUUUUUUAAGAGUUAUGCCUUCAUUCCAAAAAAACUAAGGAUGUUCUUUCAUCUAAAAAGCACCGUAGCCUUGGGCACGUGUAUGAAUGUGUUGGGUGUUCAGCUGUGGUGAGUGAGUGACUUGUGGUCUUGAUAUUGAGCUGGUGGUGUGACUGCUGUGCUCCACUGGGACAGCAGGACCUUGGUCAGGAACGUGGAGUCCUGGGCCCUUUCCUUUGGAACCAUUGCUAGAGUGUUUUAAGAACCAUGUACUGCCCUUGGGAAAACUAUGGCAGAACAACAAAGCCCAGAAACAUGUGGACAUCGCUUGGUGUUUGGUUUGGUGACGAUGGGUAAAUGGUGAUGUCAAAUCCAUUGUCACUGAUUAAGUGUCCUUGGAGGCAGAAGCCAAGGUGAUGCUCAGCCCUUUGCCAGUGCUCGUGUUUGAGGUGGGACUGAUGCUCUUUUCUCCUCCUGGUGGAGUGGAGCCAUGCCUCAUGGAGCAGUGAGCAGGUACUCGGGCAAAUGACAGCAUUCCCAUCCAUGAGCCAAACCUGAUGGCACACCGGGGACACCGUUCUUCCUUGGCCAAGAAGAACUGCACCGUGGCAUGGCCAACAUGUGUCCACAUUCCUCUGCAGUAGGAUGCAAACCACUGGCACUGCUGCUGGAGGACAUCUGCUUUUGGGAUCCUUUCUCACAGCUCUUCCCUGCCAAAGCUGCCCCUAUUAGCCCAAGACUGAAUGGGUGCUGCCUUCCUCCCGCCCUGCUCUGGGGAUGGAUGGCAGCUCCCAGACACGGACCCUUCCGAGUUCAUAACUAAUAUUGACUUCAAAGGCUGUUUGCCUUCAGUGUCGGUCAGUUGUGUAAUCCUGGCUUGUUUAGAGAUGGCGAGCAAACAGAGAGCCAGGCCGUUAAAAGGGGAAGGGCGUGGGAGAUGUAUUGCUAUUUUCCUGUGGAACCGGGAGGAAAACUUGCCUGUCAUUCUCGCUAAUAAAUACAAACUGGAAGCAUGGAUAAACCCAAGGGGAUUUAUUAGUUUGCUUUACCAAACGCAAACAUUAAGACAAGCUGGCUCGGCCCCAGGGCUGCCUUGGGCCUUUUGUGUGCUGCAGCCUGGCGCCUAUGGGUGCCGAUAAGGACGCGCUCUGUGCUCAGCCACUUGGGCUCACGGCAUUUCUUCUGCAAUAUUUCUG
ensembl:lncRNA